CCUGUGCAGUGAUGAACAUAUUUAUUUGGAGACUGUUGGAUGAAUCUAGCGGAUAUGGGACUGAGCACAGAA